AGCAGCAGCGCGGGCGGAACCGCACCGCUCCGGCGCGCUCCCGCGAGUACGACGCCCGGGCCGAGGAGCGCAACCGCGACCGGUACAACGAGAAGAAGGCCCCGCCCCGCCAGGCCGCCCCGGGCAACGAGGGCGAGCGCCUGCAGAAGGUGCUGGCCCGCGCCGGUUACGGCUCGCGCCGUGCCUGCGAGGAGCUGAUCGAGGACGCCCGCGUCGAGGUCAACGGCGAGAUCGUGCUGGAGCAGGGGCUGCGGGUCGACCCGGAGAACGACGAGAUCAAGGUCGACGGCCUCACCGUCGCCACGCAGUCGUACCAGUUCUUCUCGCUCAACAAGCCCGCCGGUGUCGUCUCCACCAUGGAGGACCCCGACGGCCGGCAGUGCCUCGGCGACUACGUCACCAACCGGGAGACCCGUCUCUUCCACGUGGGGCGGCUCGACACCGAGACCGAGGGCGUCAUCCUCCUCACCAACCACGGCGAGCUGGCGCACCGCCUGACCCACCCCCGGUACGGCGUGAAGAAGACCUACCUGGCGCACAUCGUCGGGCCCAUCCCGCGCGACCUGGGCAAGCGGCUCAAGGACGGCAUCCAGCUGGAGGACGGGUACGCCCGCGCCGACCACUUCCGGGUGGUCGAGCAGACCGGCAAGAACUACCUGGUCGAGGUGACCCUGCACGAGGGCCGCAAGCACAUCGUCCGCCGGAUGCUGGCCGAGGCCGGCUUCCCGGUCGACAAGCUGGUGCGGGUCGCCUUCGGCCCGAUCACCCUCGGCGACCAGAAGUCCGGCUGGCUGCGCCGGCUGAGCAACACCGAGGUCGGCAUGCUGAUGAAGGAGGUCGAGCUCUAAGGGCUCACCUCCGGUCCGGCACGGCCGGCCCGGUGCCCGGCGGCCGGUUCCCCUGGGGGAGCCGGCCGCCGGCCGUUUCCGGGAAGGGAGCCCGGCCGAACCGGAAGACUUCCCUCCGGUGCCCGUAUCUUUUAUGGUCGCUCUGACCAUAAAGAAGGGCGGGGCGCGUGACGUACGACAAGCACCGGUACGAGCCGUUCGCGGUCGCCGUCGAUCUCGCCGUGUUCACCGUGCGCGAGGGCGUCCUGGAGGUCGUCCUCGUCGAACGCGGCGAGGACCCCCACCGUGGCCGCCUGGCCCUCCCCGGCGGCUUCCUGCGGCCCCGCGAGUCCGCCGCCGAGGCCGCCCGGCGCGAACUGGCCGAGGAGACCGGGGUGGCGGGCGGCUUCCGCCUGGAGGAGGUCGGCGCCUACAGCGAGCCGGACCGCGACCCCCGCAUGCGGGUCGUCUCCCUCGCCCACACCGCCCUCGUCCCCCACCUGCCCGAACCCCGCGCGGGCACCGACGCCGCCCGCGCCCUGCGGCUGCCGUACGCCGAGGCCGGGCCGCUCGCCUUCGACCACGACCGCAUCCUCGCCGACGCCCACCGCCACGUCGGCGCCCUGCUGGAGACCACCCCGGCCGCCACCGCCUUCUGCCCGCCCGCCUUCACUCUCGGCGAGCUGCGCCGGGUCUACGAGGCCGUCU
rnacentral:rRNA from 1 species